rnacentral:rRNA from 1 species
GGGCUCAACCUGGGAACUGCAUUCGAAACUGGCAGGCUAGAGUCUUGUAGAGGGGGGUAGAAUUCCAGGUGUAGCGGUGAAAUGCGUAGAGAUCUGGAGGAAUACCGGUGGCGAAGGCGGCCCCCUGGACAAAGACUGACGCUCAGGUGCGAAAGCGUGGGGAGCAAACAGGAUUAGAUACCCUGGUAGUCCACGCCGUAAACGAUGUCGAUUUGGAGGUUGUGCCCUUGAGGCGUGGCUUCCGGAGCUAACGCGUUAAAUCGACCGCCUGGGGAGUACGGCCGCAAGGUUAAAACUCAAAUGAAUUGACGGGGGCCCGCACAAGCGGUGGAGCAUGUGGUUUAAUUCGAUGCAACGCGAAGAACCUUACCUG